UACGUAGGGCGCAAGCGUUAUCCGGAAUUAUUGGGCGUAAAGAGCUCGUAGGCGGUUUGUCGCGUCUGCCGUGAAAGUCCGGGGCUCAACUCCGGAUCUGCGGUGGGUACGGGCAGACUAGAGUGAUGUAGGGGAGACUGGAAUUCCUGGUGUAGCGGUGAAAUGCGCAGAUAUCGAGGAGGAACACCGGUGGACGAAGGCGGGUCUGCGUGGGCCGUAACUGACGCUGGAGGAAGCGAAAGGCAUGGGGAGCGAACAGG
rnacentral:rRNA from 1 species